CAGAAGAAUGAAGAGCAAUGAGUUUCAAACAGAAGUGUGUGGAACUCAAUGAUGGCCACCUCAUGCCGGUACUGGGCUAUGGCACUUAUCAAAAUCCAGAGGUUCCUGCAAGUAAGAUUUUAGAGUCUACUAAAAUGGCAAUAGAUACUGGGUUCCACCAUAUUGAUUCUGCUUAUGUGUACAAAAAUGAAAAGGAAACAGGACAGGCUAUUUGAAGUAAGAUUGCUGAAGGUGUUUUGAAGAGAGAAGACAUAUUUCUCACUACAAAGCCUGAGGAACCAAGGGGACUCUGCAUUAGCAGCAAGGGUGGAAAACUGGAGACGAGUCAUUGCUUCUGCCUCGGUGGGAGGAGGAUCUUCUUCGUCUGAGUCCUGGAUAUCCAGCUGAUGGUAGUGGACUACAACUGGCUUACUUAAAGCAGCUUCAAUCUACACUGCUACCUGCUGAGAGGCCUCUGAGCUAUUCUGGAGACUACACCCUAUCCUGCACUUCAUCACCUGCAGCUGGUUCCGGGCUCCAAGAAUGGAUUUGCGGGAGAUGGGCCUCUCCCCCUUUAUAAGCACAGUUUUCUAUUAAACAUUCAAGCUUUGACCAGGAACCUUGACUUAGCUCCAUUUUUCUCUCGACCGCCUAUUUCCCCUCUCUUUUCAGCCCUACCCGGCUUGCCUCCCAG
rnacentral:lncRNA from 1 species